GACGGACGCUGGCGGCGUGCUUAACACAUGCAAGUCGAACGGAAAGGCCCUGCUUUUGUGGGGUGCUCGAGUGGCGAACGGGUGAGUAACACGUGAGUAACCUGCCCUUGACUUUGGGAUAACUUCAGGAGACUGGGGCUAAUACCGGAUAGGAGCUCCUGCUGCAUGGUGGGGGUUGGAAAGUUUCGGCGGUUGGGGAUGGACUCGCGGCUUAUCAGCUUGUUGGUGGGGUAGUGGCUUACCAAGGCUUUGACGGGUAGCCGGCCUGAGAGGGUGACCGGCCACAUUGGGACUGAGAUACGGCCCAGACUCCUACGGGAGGCAGCAGUGGGGAAUAUUGCACAAUGGGCGGAAGCCUGAUGCAGCAACGCCGCGUGCGGGAUGACGGCCUUCGGGUUGUAAACCGCUUUCGCCUGUGACGAAGCGUGAGUGACGGUAAUGGGUAAAGAAGCACCGGCUAACUACGUG
rnacentral:rRNA from 1 species